GCUGCUCUACAUUGUCCCAUUGCCCAGUGAGUGUGUGCAUGAGUGGUUGUUUGUCUUUGUGUGUCGGCCCCGUGAUUGACUGGUGACUCGCCCGUAGUCAGCUGGGAUAGGCUCCAGCCCCCUUGUGACCCUGAUGGAAUAGGCGGUAUAGAAAAUGGAUGGAUGGAUGCUGUUAUCAGAAAUAGGACCUCAUUUCUUGAGUGGAAAGUAGAAAUCCUUCUGAAAACCAAAUUAUCCACUGUAACAGAAACACUGAUUUUUGAAAGACAUGAUACAUGACUUACUGAUUGACUCAUCAAAACAUUUCUAAUGUUGAAAAUAUAGAACCCGAAUCAUUGGACCAGUUGGCCGCGUGUCACUUACAGCCACAGCCAUUGAUCAGGCGCUGAAAUAAAUCUUAGCUGGAUUCACGGCGGAUGACGUGUACCAGGUAAAAGUGACACGUUAGCAUUCAUGUCAACCUAAUUCUAAAUGUAUUUUAAGUUGAUUCUCUGUAAAGUUGGUUACAUAGAAAUGCAGCAGUAUUCAUUUUAUUGCAAAGUUUGACAAUAGCUGGUCUGUUUGAGUCAAGAACAACAUGCUGAUCAACUGGUAUUAACAUUAGUCACAACAUUGUGGUGUAUCAUCAUGGGUGAUGGAAAUUAGCAGAGGGUAAUUAUGAUGACUGGCUGCUGUCAUUGUCACAAGCUGUGUGGAGUCAUCAGUCCUCAACAAUCAGCACUGAGUCCAGUUCAAGAUUUGAAAGCAUUUACAGAUGAAAAGCCAACUAUCAUGGCCAUACCAUGGUCUGCAUAGCCCGUCUACCGGAGCAGCAGGGUGACUGGACUCAGGGGAGGAGACUCGUGUUUGUACUGGACUGCAUUUACUGUUAUGAAUGAGUUGAUAGAUGUGAAACUGAAGAGCAAAUUGAGGUAAAACUGCAUACAUGAGGUUAUUUGGAGCAGUUUGCAUGUGCACCUGUGUUAACUAUACACACACAAACUGUGUGCUUUGUGUUCUGCAAAACCCCCCAAACCCCAAAGAACAAGAGACCUGAUGUGCGUUCAGACUUUGUCCUCUGUAGUGAAAGCCUAUUUAUCAUAUAAUUAUGUUUUUCAUGAACAUGUGGCUUUGAGGAUUCCUCUUAUUUGGGCUUUGUUUGGGCAGCACAAGAGUGUGUUGCUAACUCUGUAAUAUUAACUGGAAUUGUUUGUUAGCAGCGUCACCCUGCAGCAAGAGGGUUUUGGGUUCGAGUCCCGGUCUGGGCCCUUCUGUGCACAGUUUGCAUGUUCUCCCUGCACCUGCGUGGGUUUUCUAAAGGUACUCUGGCUUCCUCCCACAGUCCCUGAAACGUGCACAUUAAUUUGCUACUCUGUAUUGCCCCUGGGUGUGAGUGAGUUUGUGUGUGUGUGUGGUUAUCUGUCUUGUGUGUCAGCCCUGCGACUGACUGGUGACCAGUCCAGGGUUUCAAUUGCUUUGCUCUUCUAAUUCCAAUUGCAUGAACUUAAAAAGACAUUUCAAAACCUUUUACUGGCUCAGCUUCAAAUGCCUCUUAAACUGCUUUAAAUACUUUAACUGCCUUUAAAAGCUCACUUGAAAACAAAGGUUUAUGGAAUUUUAUUUCAUCUUAACCACAUUACAGCCAUUUUCAGAGUAAGUAAGCACAUUUCUUCAGAAAAAUCCUAGUUUAUUAACACCAAAAAGAAUACUAGUGUAAAUAACCAAAACAAUUACAAAGUAGGUAAGUAAUUAUCUAUUAAAACUGACUGACCGACUGACUGAUCUGUCAUUUUACUUUCCUCCUUCUCUAGCCUCACCUUGAAGCUCGAGCUCUUUAGAACCAGGUAUCCUCCCUCGAUCAGGUCCAGGGUCAGUUUCAGGUACAGGUACGAUCCUUUACUCAGACUCUUCAGGUGGCUGAUCAGCUUGGCCAGCGCUGUGUUGUCUCUGCACUACUGUGGAUCCGCUGCAUCAGGUAACCCUGAGAGGAAAUAACAAAGCACAGACAUAAAGAUGUACAGAUAGACAGACAGAUAGAAAGUCAGACAGACAAUCAGACAGCAUGUUACCUGCAGGUCCUGGUCUAUGGCAUUGUUUUCUUCCAUCCUGUCCAGAGAGAUGUGAUGGAAAGGCAGAGAACCCGUGAUGUCCUGAUAAAGAGUGAAACAGUGAAACAAAUGUAAACAAACAGCAUCUGACGUGACUCAGGGAGAAAUACUCAUGGACAAGGUCAUGUUUUAUAGUUGUAAUCAUGUUAAGCUUAGUCACGUUCUGCAGCUUCCUUCCUCACUUUCUGAUUCUGUCCUUGAAGUUGUAAUGUCAGACGACUGUAUGAAAAGCACCUUGAAUAAAAUCACAGAAUCCUUUGGGUUUGAACAUUGUUGGAAACAUUUGGGAUGAUGUAAGUACACAACUCACCACUAUUUAUAAUAAAGGCCUGACUGUUUUAAGACAUUGUAUCUAUAAGGUUUGGUUGAUAAGAAAGGCCGUUGUAAUUUUUUUUAGUUUUUAAGUUUAUAUGUGUGUACUUUAUUACAAAUACACUAAUAUAUGCAUAAUGUACCAGAAUACUCAGCAGCUGAAUACAAAAGUUCCUAUUUUGUCUGUUUUUACUUGUGCGUGUGUGUGUGUGGAGUGUGUCUACCUCCUGACUGGUCCUGACUGUGGUAAUGACCUUCAACCAGGAAGGAAAUUUUUGGAUGUUUCGGGACAGGAAGGAAGUCAGCGUGUCACCGUAGUCCGGCCGGUGGAACUCUGCCUCGUUCAGCCCAUCGAUCAGUAUAAUAAGCCCCGCCCCAUCUACCUGCAACUGCCUCUCUGG